AUGAUGUGNUUAAUUCGAUGCAACGCGAAAANCCUUACCUACCCUUGACAUGUCUGNAUCCUGAAGAGAUUUGGGAGUGCUCGAAAGAGAACCAGAACACAGGUGCUGCAUGGCCGUCGUCAGCUCGUGUCGUGAGAUGUUGGNUAAGUCCCGCAACGAGCGCAACCCUUGUCAUUAGUUGCUACGAAAGGGCACUCUAAUGAGACUGCCGGUGACAAACCGGAGGAAGGUGGGGAUGACGUCAGGUCCUCAUGGCCCUUAUGGGUAGGGCUACACACGUCAUACAAUGGCCGGUACAGAGGGCUGCCAACCCGCGAGGGGGAGCCAAUCCCAGAAAACCGGUCGUAGUCCGGAUCGCAGUCUGCAACUCGACUGCGUGAAGUCGGAAUCGCUAGUAAUCGCGGAUCAGCUUGCCGCGGUGAAUACGUUCCCGGGUCUUGUACACACCGCCCGUCACACCAUGGGAGCGGGUUCUGCCAGAAGUAGUUAGCCUAACCGCAAGGAGGGCGAUUACCACGGCAGGGUUCGUGACUGGGGUGAAGUCGUAACAAGGUAGCCGUAUCGGAAGGUGCGGCUGGAUCACCUCCUU
rnacentral:rRNA from 1 species